UCUCCGUUGGUGAACCAGCGGAGGGAUCAUUACCGAGUUUACAACUACCAAACCCCUGUGAACAUACCAUUUGUUGCCUCGGCGGUGCCUGCUUCGGCAGCCCGCCAGAGGACCCAAACCCUUGAUUUUAUACAGUAUCUUCUGAGUAAAUGAUUAAAUAAAUUAAAACUUUCAACAACGGAUCUCUUGGUUCUG
rnacentral:misc_RNA from 1 species